AAUUUUCAUGACUCAAAGUUGUCCUGAGGGCAGAAACGUUUGUGAUUGGUUCAAUCUGACAACCAAUCACAAGAGGGGAGAGAAUUGCAGAGGCGGAGCCACCAUUUCCAAUCUCAACUGUCAAAAAGUCCCUCCGCGGUGCGCAGGCAAGAGGAACUGGUGGUUAUCAUUUCAAAAUGAGCACGCUCAUAAUGUAAGAGAUGCCGGCGCAGCCACAACAUUGCCCAACAUCAAAUGGCAAACGUAAUGCAAGUGGAACGAAACUGCUCGUUAUUGUGUGGUUGAAGGACCGUUUAUCAGUUUGGACCAGUGCAGCGCGAGCCGAUCGUGAUCAUGCGACACUGUCACUACACAGCGCUAAGAGAUCCAGUAAAGAAAGCAUUUGAAUUCGCCACAGAAGUAAUAACAUCGCUGCAAGAUCUAGUGAGAAACAUUCUCAUUUCUCCGUUAUUAACGGAUCAAUAAUGCUUUCAAGUAACAUUACGCCGGUUUUAUUUUGACAUUGUGAAUACAAUUGCUGCCCUCAAAUGUUAAUCUGAACUAAAAAUAAACCUUUAACUACUACAAUAUUACAUUUCAUUUUUUCCAAUGAGCUUUUUUUGUUUUAUAUGCUCGAUGUUAAAUUUAAAUUUGUAUUUAUAAAUUUAGUUAAAUUUAUAAAUUUGGCUUUUCUUCAUGACUGUUUAGUCUCAUCUGGUCCCAGGGCAGACAGAUAUUUCUAGAUUUUGGCUUUUCUUCAUGACUGUUUAGUAUCAUCUGGUCCCAGGGCAGAGACUAUUGUUUCCCACAAUUUUGUCCCAGAGCAAGGGAAUCCCUCCUGGUCUCAGGGCAGAAGUCAUAUUUUUCUCUUCUCAGGGCAAUAUAGUUGGACAAAAGGGAGUCAACUGUCUUUUCUGGUCUCAGGGCAGAAGUGGUCUGAGGGCAGGACGGUGAAUCUCUCCUGGUCUCAGGUCUGCACUGAUCCCAGGCUACCCUGCCCUGGCUUAGAAUUAGUUUGAGGCCAGUGUCUUUUCCUCCAUUUAAGUUUUGCCUCAGGGA